rnacentral:rRNA from 1 species
GAUGAACGCUGACAGAAUGCUUAACACAUGCAAGUCGACUGUGGCGGACGGGUGAGUAACGCGUAAAGAACUUGCCUCACGGAUAGGGACAACAUUUGGAAACGAAUGCUAAUACCUGAUACUGUGAGAGAGCUUUGCGUCCCAUUAGCUAGUUGGAGAGGUAACGGCUCACCAAGGCGAUGAUGUGUAGCCGGCCUGGGAGGGUGAUCGGCCACAAGGGGACUGGGAAACCACCAUUACUCCUACGGGGGGCAGCAGUGGGGAUUAUUGGAAAAAGGACCAAAGUGUGAUCCAGCAAUUCUGUGUGCACGAUGAAGUUUUCGGAAUGUAAAGUGCUUUCAGUUGGGAAGCGGUACCAACAGAAGAAGUGACGGCUAAAUACGUGCCAGCAGCCGCGGUAAUAC